GAUGAACGGCUGGCGGCGUGCUUAACACAUGCAAGUCGAACGGGAAACAUUUUAUUGAAGCUUCGGCAGAUUUAGCUUGUUUCCAGUGGCGGACGGGUGAGUAACGCGUGAGGAACCUGCCUCGGAGAGGGGAAUAACGUUUGGAAACGAACGCUAAUACCGCAUAACGUGCGGUCCUCGCAUGGGGACUGUACCAAAGAUUUUAUCGCUGGAAGAUGAGCUCGCGGCCGAUUAGGUAGUUGGUGAGAUAACAGCCCACCAAGCCGACGAUCGGUAGCCGGACUGAGAGGUUGAUCGGCCACAUUGGGACUGAGACACGGCCCAG
rnacentral:rRNA from 1 species